rnacentral:rRNA from 1 species
CCAGUAACGGCGAGUGAACAGGGAAGAGCCCAGCGCCGAAGCCUCCGUCCCGAGCGGGCGGUAGGCAAUGUGGCGUUCGGGAGAAACCUCUCCUUCCGGAAGCUGUCUGGGAGCCCAGGUCCCCCUGACCGGGGCCAUCGCCCGUUGAGGGUGCAAGGCCCGUGUGGCUCUCGGCGUCCGGAGGACGGUUUUAUUUCUCCCGGGAGUCGGGUUGCUUGGGAGUGCAGCCCUAAGAGGGUGGUAAACUCCAUCUAAGGCUAAAUACUUCCACGAGACCGAUAGCAAACAAGUACCGUGAGGGAAAGUUGCAAAGAACUUUGAAGAGAGAGUUCAAGAGUACGUGAAACCGCUCGUAGGUAAACGGGUGGGCCCUCGAAGGCAAGCAGGAGGGGAUUCAACCCGUUGGCAGUCGACCGUGCACUGCGGUUUUUCUCGAAACGGAUCCGAGAGACCGGCCCGUUGGUGCCGCGGUCGUCAGCGGGCGCACUUCCCCUUCUCGCGUCCCGUCUCCCCUGUGAGGCGGGACCGAACGCCGCGACCGGUCGGGAGAUACGACGGCGGCCAAGCGGCGAGACUGGGCAGGUAUCCUACUCGUCCUUUCUGUCCGUGAAGCCCACUCUCGGGUGGGUGGGCAGGAUGGCUUGUAGGAGAGUUUUCAGCCCGUCUCGACCCGGCUCCGCCGCCCGACCGUGGUCUAGAACCGAGGUUCGACAACCGCGCAUGCGCUGUUUCGACGCUCGAGCCCGUCCCGCACGUAGGGUUUUUCUGGCCGCCGAUAGACCCCUCCCCCCCGCUCUUGGCGGUUACAUGAAGCGGUCGCCCUGCGUCGCGUCUUGAUUGAAAAGGACGUGUGCUCUCGAACGAUAGGAUUUUUUUUUUUUAAUUUUUUAAAAAAAGAGUCCUACGGUGCGCUUGUGGUCGGCGGCGAGUAGGUCGGUAACCCACCCGACCCGUCUUGAAACACGGACCAAGGAGUCUAACAUGUGUGCGAGUUGUAGGGUUCGUCCGAAACCCGAAGGCGCAGUGAAAGUAGAGGUCGGAUCUUUUUUUUUAACGGGGAUUUUUCGACCGAGGCGGGAUCCGUCUAUUUUUGCAUUUCUUUUUUAAAAUCCUUUAAGAGAGAAAGAGAAAAUUUGAAAAACGAAACUUAUUUUGUUUCUUCCUUUUCUCCUUCGGGGGUUGAGGAGAAACAGAGUUUUUUUUUUUGGACGGCGCACCGCCGGCCCGUCUCGACCGCCGCGUCGGUGAGGCGGAGCAAGAGCACACACGUUGGGACCCGAAAGAUGGUGAACUAUUCCUAGGCAGGACGAAGCCAGAGGAAACUCUGGUGGAGGUCCGUAGCGUUUCUGACGUGCAAAUCGAUCGUCAGACCUGGGUAUAGGGGCGAAAGACUAAUCGAACCAUCUAGUAGCUGGUUCCCUCCGAAGUUUCCCUCAGGAUAGCUGGCUCUCGAGACACACAGUCUCAUCCGGUAAAGCGAAUGAUUAGAGGCCUUGGGGCCGAAACGACCUCAACCUAUUCUCAAACUUUCAAUGGGUGAGAAGUCCGGCUUGCUCGACUGAAGCCCGGACGUCGGAUGCGAGUGCCCAGUGGGCCACUUUUG